rnacentral:rRNA from 1 species
CAGUAGCCGCGGUAAUACGUAGGGUGCAAGCGUUAAUCGGAAUUACUGGGCGUAAAGCGUGCGCAGGCGGUUCGUUAAGACAGAUGUGAAAUCCCCGGGCUUAACCUGGGAACUGCAUUUGUGACUGGCGAGCUAGAGUAUGGCAGAGGGGGGUAGAAUUCCACGUGUAGCAGUGAAAUGCGUAGAGAUGUGGAGGAAUACCGAUGGCGAAGGCAGCCCCCUGGGCCAAUACUGACGCUCAUGCACGAAAGCGUGGGGAGCAAACAGGAUUAGAUACCCGCGUAGUCCCUGUCUCUUAUAC